rnacentral:rRNA from 1 species
GACGUAGGGCGCGAGCGUUGUCCGGAUUUAUUGGGCGUAAAGAGCUCGUAGGCGGUCUGUCGCGUCUGCUGUGAAAACCCGAGGCUCAACCUCGGGCCUGCAGUGGGUACGGGCAGACUAGAGUGCGGUAGGGGAGAUUGGAAUUCCUGGUGUAGCGGUGGAAUGCGCAGAUAUCAGGAGGAACACCGAUGGCGAAGGCAGAUCUCUGGGCCGUAACUGACGCUGAGGAGACGAAAGCGUGGGGGAGCGAACAGG